rnacentral:lncRNA from 1 species
CGGUUUAGAUCUGUGCUUGUUUACUUGAUCAGUGACUGUGCAAAGCUAAUUUCAUUCGUGCUAGUGUUGGAUCUGUUUGAUUGAGAGCAUUUGAUGCUUGUGUGCUUUGAUUUGAUGAUAUGGAAAGCUAGAUCUAUCAUGGAUACAUGGAGGUUUACUUACUGGUGUUACUAUGAACUGAUGAUUGAUAAGAUAAUUGUGUGA